rnacentral:misc_RNA from 1 species
GAUGAAGAACGUAGCGAAAUGCGAUACUUGGUGUGAAUUGCAGAAUCCCGUGAACCAUCGAGUCUUUGAACGCAAGUUGCGCCCGAAGCCAUCAGGUUGAGGGCACGUCUGCCUGGGCGUCACAUAUCGUUGCCCAAUGCCUAUUGCAGUGCAAUAGGAAUUUCUAGGGCGAAUGAUGGCUUCCCGUGAGCGUUGUUGCCUCGCGGUUGGUUGAAAAUCGAGUCCUUGGUAGGGUGUGCCAUGGUAGAUGGUGGUCGAGUUAGAACGAUACCGAUCAUGUGCAUGCUCCCCAAAAUAUGGCCUCUAUGACCCACACGCGUCUUUUGACGCUCAUGACGAGACCUCAGGUCAGGCGGGGCUACUCGCUGAAUUUAAGCAUAUCAAUAAGCGGAGGA